CGGGGCGGGAUUCCCCCGCACACACGUGGGGAGGGGACGGGACGGGGGGGGAUGUUCUCGCCCCGCGGCUGCUCCCGGCGGUAACGGCAGAGCCCCAGCCCCGCGGGCGAGGGAAGGACCCGCGUUCCCCGUAGCGGCCGUCGCUGAAGAGUCACAUCAAACCAUCUGCAAGUCACCUCCCUUGCCUUUCUGGACCAUCCACAGCAGAGCCUGGGAAGAAUUUGUGCCUGUGAUUCUCAGAGGUAAUUUUGAAAGGAGAGCAAGACCUUUACAUGAGGAAUAGUUGACGGCAGAGGAAAGGGGAGAACUAAUGCUCGUAGAACUGCAAGUGGUUCUUGAUGAGAGUGGUGAGAGCUACUGAUCAACCAGAUGUGACCAAAUGGACUUUUUGUGCAGUUGAAACUGCCAGAGGUGAUAGAAGUCUAUCUUUCUCUUUCUGAAUUUUUUCAUGUCUUUUUAGUGCCCUUCCAUUUAUAACGCAAUGAAUCCAACUGUGGCCAGUUAAUGUUGUAGGUAACCGUUUGGAGAACUGAGGUGCUGGGGUAAGGCAGGUUCCCCAAGGUCGUCCUGAAAGUCCAUAGUGGAAAACUGGUGACCCCUGACACCUAGAAUUGGGCUUUUAUGACAGACUUUCUCCUACCUGCUAUUAAAAUCUUGAAACACUCAGACUUUUUGAAAGACCUUGUGGAAAACUGCAUCUGUUAUCAUGUUUGCUGCUUGUCUUGUGACAAUUAAUGGGAUAUAGAUCUUCACCCACCAAUAACCUGUAUUUGAAGCCUUCCCAGCUCAGUAGUUACUGAAAAUUGUUGCUGCCCAAUAGCUCUUCAGUGACCUACAGGAUAAGAAUGAAAUACCUGAACUUGGCCCAGUUUUUCAUCCACGGAUGUCAUCUCCAAACCUACUGCUGAGACUCUAAUUUCUGCUCAUGACAUUGAAAGACAGUUAAGUCUGAACCAAACAUUGCAUUUUUGCAAACUUCUCUCAUCCACACCACAUAUCUCAAUAAUCAAAAUAGAUCUCAAACAUAUCUCUUUAGUCUUGACAAAGCUCCCUUCCUGCUGUCAAAGGAUUUCACUGUUUUCAUGAUUUCACACAUCAUUGCAUGUAGUUUUAGGAAUACAUCCCAAAUUUGACCUGCCUAAAGAUCUGUAGCAAUUAUGGACAGUAUCAAUCAUAAACUACAGCAACAUCCUAAGGGGAAUUCUACUUCUGACAUCCAGGCAAUCUGUCCAGUCCCACAGCUACGGGUGUGCCUGACAAUGCCCACUGCUAUUUGUUGUCUUUUCCACAGCACUGCCAACAAUCUUGAGCCUGAAAUCAGAGCAGGGUUAGAUGAUGUGCUGGGCCUGCAUGUGCUUGCCUUCGUUCUAGCUUCCAGUGGCUCGACCAUGAGGAGAUCCAAUUGAGAAAAAAUCUCAGUGUAGUUCUGAUUUAUGUGCACAAGUGCAGAGGGGAGCAGAAGCUUUUAGUAUCUUGGGAAGCAGUUAGGAAUUAAGGCCAAGGAAAGGACAGUCAUGUCAAUUACUUCCUAAAAAAGGAAAACUUAAGUGAGAGUCCUGGCUCCUGAACUGCUUCUGGGCUGGCAAAUGUUCACAGUUCUCUUGGCAGAUGCUGUAGAAAGCCCAUUUAGACACCCUCCCUUACACAGUGGCAUCGGGUUUACAGUUUUGAGGGGGGUCUGGUGGUGCUGUGAUAUUCCAUAAUGUUACUGAAAUGAAAUUAGGGGAUGCAUUUAAUAUUUUAGGAUCUCUGAUGCUCUCUUGUCACGAUUCUCCACUGAACCCGCAGCACUUCACUCCAGAUGUGGCUGAGGAAAGGAAAUCUCAUGUGAAGUGCAAGGCUGACACCUGGAGGGGACUGCUGAGAUGCAGUUGGACAGGGAUCCUGCAGCACCCAGCUUGGGUUGGGAAAGCUCAGAGUGGGUGGCAAGAUCCCAGGUUUGGGAACUGCUCUUUUCUAGUGAGGGGGUGCUUGAGAUAUUAUUCCCUCUCCCCUUUUCCAACAAUAAAUAAAAAUACAGAUUCACAUUUCA